rnacentral:rRNA from 1 species
CGUAGGUGGCGAGCGUUAUCCGGAAUUAUUGGGCGUAAAGAGCGCGCAGGUGGUUGAUUAAGUCUGAUGUGAAAGCCCACGGCUUAACCGUGGAGGGUCAUUGGAAACUGGUCGACUUGAGUGCAGAAGAGGGAAGUGGAAUUCCAUGUGUAGCGGUGAAAUGCGUAGAGAUUGGGAGGAACACCAGUGGCGAAGGCGACUUACUGGGCCGUAACUGACGCUGAUGCGCGAAAGCGUGGGGAGCGAACAGGAUUAGAUACCCU